GGCGAUUUCAACGAAAUACUACAUGCACACGAGAAGGACGGUGGAGUCGCAAGACCACAAAGAAAUAUGCAAAUGUUCAGUGAUGCUUUGUCUGAUUGUGGACAAGAUGACCUUGGUUAUACAGGCGACCUGUUCUCAUGGCGUCGAGGCCACCUACAUGAGCGUUUGGAUCGAGCAGUGGGGAAUAUGCAAUGGGCAAACUUGUUCCCUGGUUUCGCUGUUUCAAAUGAGGAGUUUGAUAAAUCUGAUCACCGGCCGGUUCUU
rnacentral:rRNA from 1 species